UGACGUUAGCGGCGGACGGGUGAGUAACACGUGGGUAACCUACCUAUAAGACUGGGAUAACUUCGGGAAACCGGAGCUAAUACCGGAUAACAUUUGGAACCGCAUGGUUCUAAAGUGAAAGAUGGUUUUGCUAUCACUUAUAGAUGGACCCGCGCCGUAUUAGCUAGUUGGUAAGGUAACGGCUUACCAAGGCGACGAUACGUAGCCGACCUGAGAGGGUGAUCGGCCACACUGGAACUGAGACACGGUCCAGACUCCUACGGGAGGCAGCAGUAGGGAAUCUUCCGCAAUGGGCGAAAGCCUGACGGAGCAACGCCGCGUGAGUGAUGAAGGGUUUCGGCUCGUAAAACUCUGUUAUUAGGGAAGAACAAAUGUGUAAGUAACUGUGCACGUCUUGACGGUACCUAAUCAGAAAGCCACGGCUAACUACGUGCCAGCAGCCGCGGUAAUACGUAGGUGGCAAGCGUUAUCCGGAAUUAUUGGGCGUAAAGCGCGCGUAGGCGGUUUCUUAAGUCUGAUGUGAAAGCCCACGGCUCAACCGUGGAGGGUCAUUGGAAACUGGGAAACUUGAGUGCAGAAGAGGAAAGUGGAAUUCCAUGUGUAGCGGUGAAAUGCGCAGAGAUAUGGAGGAACACCAGUGGCGAAGGCGACUUUCUGGUCUGUAACUGACGCUGAUGUGCGAAAGCGUGGGGAUCAAACAGGAUUAGAUACCCUGGUAGUCCACGCCGUAAACGAUGAGUGCUAAGUGUUAGGGGUUUCCGCCCCUUAGUGCUGCAGCUAACGCAUUAAGCACUCCGCCUGGG
rnacentral:rRNA from 1 species